rnacentral:tRNA from 1 species
GGGAGUGUGACUUAGUGGUACAGUGCUUGCCUAGCAUGCAUGAAGCCCUGGGUUCGAUUCCUCAGUACCA